ensembl:lncRNA
GUGGGUGAUCGCUGACCCAUUUUCUGUGACUUUAGGCAGGAAUGUUUAGCUUCCUUCCUGACCUGUAAAUGACAAACCCCAAAAUAAAAAUAACAGCUGCAGGCUUGGAGGAUUGUCUGGUCAAAGCAUGUGCUGCGAUAAAUACUGAAGCACAGCAUCUUUCCGGUUCAUCAUAAAAUUAAACCUCCUCGGAAAGAUAGGACUUUUUUAAAAAAUAUUUUUCAACCUUUUAAUAAUAUUUCGAGCUGUUAGUCACAACAGCAGAUUCAGCGUUUUCUGUUCAUUCCCUCACUUACUGUCUACCAAACAACAGGAGCAACACCCAACUUUUAACCAGCUGAUGGGGCUGGGAACCCCUAACACUGAGUUUGACCCCGUCUUUUAUCUAUUGUUUACGGUAAAAAAAUAAAAAAUAUAAAAAAACAGAAGACAGCGGCUGGUGUCCACCUGUUCACAACCAGCGAAGUGGAAUGAACAACAGACGUCAAUAUAGUGUGAUCAGACCCCACGAUUGAUCAAUAUGAAGCCACCAUAUUGUUCAGUAGCCUGUCAGGUCGACCUUGAGACCAACAUUACACUUCGCUUUUCCCACGCGCCUCAGCCAGCCACGUCAAUCAAAAUCAAAUAAAAUAGAAAUAAAUAAAUCGGACCACAGAGCGAUUCGGACAUGGAAUUGUUCCAUCAACAUGCAGAGAAACAGAGGGUGAUUCAGUGGCUCUCUGUGUGCACUGAGACCUCCAGCCAUCCUCUGCAGUGAGAGGACGUGUUGCAACCUGCCUUGGCAACCGCGGUUUCAUCACCAAGGACAGCUCCCCUUGUUCGCUUUCUUGGUUAAACCAAAAAAAAAAAAAAAAAAAAAAAAAUCAGUUUCCAGCCCCCUCACAAGACAAAACAGAAACACGCACGCACGGAUACACACAGCCGUACUUACACUGCUCUGCCUUCGUAGACAUUUCGCAGACACUUGGGGAAACAUAAAACCCAGACUGUCAGUUGUUUUGAUAGGUUUUUCCCUUCCCGGCGUUGUGUUUCCCUCAGUCGUGAAAAAGUGACUAUGCCCCCUUGCAGCCCAGGCUCGUCUUGAUUGUACCACUUUGCACGACGGAUUUAUACGCUGUGGUGUUUUAGCUGUGCUUC